ACUGCUCAGUAACACGUGGACAACCUGCCCUUAGGACGGGGAUAAACCCGGGAAACUGGGUAUAAUACCCGAUAGGUCUCGAUUGCUGAAAUGCAUCGAGAUUUAAAGCUCCGGCGCCUAAGGAUGGGUCUGCGGCCUAUCAGGUAGUAGUGGGUGUAGCGUACCUACUAGCCUACGACGGGUACGGGUUGUGAGAGCAAGAGCCCGGAGAUGGAUUCUGAGACACGAAUCCAGGCCCUACGGGGUGCAGCAGGCGCGAAAACUUUACAAUGCUGGCAACAGCGAUAAGGGAACCUCGAGUGCCAGGUUACAAAUCUGGCUGUCGAGAUGCCUAAAAAGCAUUUCAUAGCAAGGGCCGGGCAAGACCGGUGCCAGCCGCCGCGGUAACACCGGCGGCUCGAGUGGUAACCGUUAUUAUUGGGUCUAAAGGGUCUGUAGCCGGCCGGAUAAGUCUCUUGAGAAAUCUGGCAGCUUAACUGUCAGGCUUUCAGGAGAUACUGUCUGGCUCGAGGCCGGGAGAGGUGAGAGGUACUUCAGGGGUAGGGGUGAAAUCUUGUAAUCCUUGAAGGACCACCAGUGGCGAAGGCGUCUCACCAGAACGGACCUGACGGCAAGGGACGAAAGCUAGGGGCACGAACCGGAUUAGAUACCCGGGUAGUCCUAGCCGUAAACGAUACUCGCUAGGUGUCAGCCACGGUGCGACCGUUGUCGGUGCCGUAGGGAAGCCGUGAAGCGAGCCACCUGGGAAGUACGGCCGCAAGGCUGAAACUUAAAGGAAUUGGCGGGGGAGCAC
rnacentral:rRNA from 1 species